UCCAGCUUAGCUGCCAUUUUUUAAGAACACAACAAUAGCAUGGAAGUACCCUGUGCUCAUCUCUCUCCAUUUUGUAGGCAAGAAGACAACCACUUUCACCCUAAAUCUCAGGGUUAUUUUAAAUUACAGGUAAUGAAAAAAUCCAAAGUCUCUUGAAUUCUUCCAUAGCAGUAGUGCUACAUGAGUGUUGGGUCCACACAUUUUGAAGAGUACCUCCUUUUUUGCAUCUUUUUAGCUGACCUAAAAACAUAAAAGAUUGAUUUAGACCUAAAUCAGGGUCACUAUGGUCAAUUGUGUGAUCAUCAGACUGUAGAUUCCAAAAUUUCUUGUUUAGAUUGAGAAUGAAGAACUGCCCUUGCUAAUGUAGGUAUCAAUAAAACAACACAAAACAACAGCCAUACAAGUUUGUUGGACUACACUAGGAAUGUGGGCUGAUAAAAGAUCAGAUUAGUCUAUGUUCUCCAGAGAAUAGGAAUCAAUAGCUCUCUAUGGCUUCUUGGAGCGUUCCCAAUAUAUUAAUCAGAAAUUUUUUAGGUUCAAGUAAUAGAAACUCACUCCAACUAGCUGGACCAAAAUCUACUUAAGUUUCUCACAGAUUUGAAGCUAUAGGAACCCAGAUCUCAGAACCCAAUAUUGCCAGGAUUCUCUUUGCCUCUUCUCCACUGUUUCCCUCUUUCUCCUCACUCAUUCUCAAUCUCCACUCCUCACCCUGAGAAUGAGACGGACUAAGAGCAUUUUCUUCUUUUGCUUUAUAUUGCAAAUAACCUUUGCUGUUUUAAAAAAUAACCACUUUCCAGAGAAAUUUAUGGCUUCCCAACUUUGUAACUGCAGCCAAAAUUAAUUUUCCUUUCCUACCAUCUACCUGCCAAUAUUGGCAAAGGAUUUUAUUGGUUCACCUUAGGUCAUGACUCUCCUAUUGGAAGCUUCAAUGUGGCCUAGGGUGUCAGGUAACAGGAUAGUCCAAGCCUGAGUCACAUUCCCAUCAUGACUGAAAGAAAGUAGCUGGGAGGUGCUAUCUCUUGGAGGCCAGAUAUAUUGAUUGAAAAUAUGUCCAGAACCACAUGAAAUUUAGGGAGAAAGAUGAUUUCUCAAAGAAAGGGACACUAAGCCAACAACUACAACAAAUAGCAUAUCUAUUGCCAUUGGUUGAAUGUUUGGCUUUUUCCUUCAUAUAAAUAAAAUUGGAUUUUUCAAAGUUUUUUUUUUUAAUUUUAUUGUAUUCUUUUGUUCCAUGAGUAUUUGGCUUCAAUUCCAUCCUUGAGAUUAGUGUAUCUCUGGCUGAUGUGUAUAAAGCGUCAGGUGGCUAGAAAAAGAGCAUUGUGAAUUAUAUUCAUUAUGAGAAUCAGAGCAAAUAGGUGACCCCCCCAAACAAGUACCAUGACAUAGAUGGAAACAUGGAAUGGUAAAUGAAAUAUGGGCAUGAAAAUUGGGCUUUGCCUCUUAUUAGGUGGUGACUUAAACAAGUAGCUUAAUGUUUCUGAGAUGCUUCAACAAUAUAAAUGGUUGUAAUAGCCAUCUCACAGGAUUUUUAUCAGGGUAUGGGGAUACAAAGAAAAUGUUUUGCAUAGUACCAAAACAUGGUGCUUAGGAGAUGUUGUUACUUUGUCCCUAACACCUAUACACCCAAUCUCCAAACUUUCUCACUCUGUGUUGUACAGGUCAAGUGGAAAGGUUUAUAGGAAACAUUGAUCAGUGAUCCUUGAAACAGUGAUCCUUGACAUACAUGACUUCCCAAGCAUUCUGAGAAGCAAUCAAGUGGAAAAUCAUGAGGAGGGUAAGACAAAACCAGAUGGCCCUAUGCAUCUAGAAGAUGUUGUUCCAGUAAAGAUGGCCUGAGCACCAGAAGCACUUCAGCAACCUCUGAGCAGAGGGAAAAAAAGAACAGAUAUAAUAUUGCAAAGAUUGCACAACUUAAGUGGCUCUCCCAAAGAGUACUUCAUUGACUCCUUGAUUGAAAGAAGGCCUUCUUGACUAUCUACUGCUCUAUACCCAGGACCUGGAAGUGUCCCUUGCUAGUAACUGACACUCAAUAAAUAUAUGUUGAAUAAAAGGAAGACAGAGGAAAAGGAAAUGUUCUUUAUUCAGGUCAGAAAACCAGCAGAGAAGCAAAAUGAAAUAUAAAAUGAAGACCAUAUUUUACAGGGAGUAGUUCAGCUGGUGAGUCAUUGACUUGCUUUGCUGACAGUGUAAUUUUUAAGGGUGAGUAUGUAAUAAAAGGCCAAUUCUAGCUAUGGAGGAAGUAAUCAGUAGAUAUCAUUUAAAAGCAAAUUUAUUAAAGUAAUAGUUAAAUUGCACAAUUGUACCCAGCAAAUGCUUAUUUCAAUUCCAAAAGAAAAAAAAUAGUGUACCAUGUGGUUAGGAGAAUUAAAGUCUCUCAUCUCUUAGUAAAAAAUUAUCCCAAGACCACUUGCUUAGUUCCUGCUAUGGGCAAGAGAGUAUUUAACUCUUCUACCAUGAAGUAAUUAUUAUUGUACCAUCUUACAUAUGAAAAACUGAGACUCAAAGGUGGAAAAUGACUAGUCUAAGCUCAUAUAACUGGCCCAAAGUCAUCCAAUUUAAAUCCUAGACAAUCUUCCUUUAUGAAAUGUAGAGACACAUUACCUCUAUGAAAUAUAUUGUUCAAAAAUCGCCAACAAAUACAUGAAAAAAAUGUUCAACAUCUUCAGCAAUUAGGAAAAUGCAAAUCAAAACUAUACUGAGAUUUCAUCUCAUUGCAGUAAGAAUGGCAGCCAUCAAGAAUACGAAUGAUAAUAAAUGCUGGAGAGGAUUUAGGGUAAAGGAAUAAUUUUACACUGCUGGAAUGGUAAAUUAGUACAAUCACUGUGAAAAUCAGUAUGGAUUUUCCUGAAAAGACUAGGAAUGGAAGCACCAUAUGACCCAGCUCUCCUACUCCUUGGUGUAUAUCAUAAAGAAUUAAAGUGAGCGUACCAUAGUGAUGCAUGCAUCCUGAUGUUUACAGCAGCCUAAUUCACAAUAGCCAAGUCAUGGAAACAGUCUAGGUGCCCAACAACAGAUGAAUGGAUAAAGAAAAUUUGCGAUAUAUACAUGAUGGAAUUUUAUUCAGUCAUAAAACAGAGUGAAAUUAUAUCAUUUGCAGGAAAAUGGUUGGAACUUGAGACCAUGAUGUUAAGUAAAAUAAGGGAAACAAAAAGUCAAAGGUUAUAUCUUUUCUCUCACAUGUGGAAGCUAGAGAAGAAAAAGGAAAAGAAAGAUGUGUGGGGAGGGAAUCUCAUGAAAAUAGAAGGGAAAACAGUAGAAUAAAGGAAGGAGUGCAGAGGAAGGGAGGAUCAAGGGAAAGAGGAGGUACUGAGGAGCAAAAUUGACCAAAUUAUAUUGUUAUAUUGUGUGCAGGCAUAAAUAUGUAACAAUGAAUUCCACUGUUAUACAUAAUUAUAAUGCACCAAAAAAUAAAUUAGAAAAAAAGAAAUAUUGUUCAAACUUAUAAACCACCUUAUUAAAUAUUAAGAAUUUUAUCAAGCUUCUCUAUGUACUAUUAUUGAAAAGUUUCUCUUAAAAUGAAAUGCUUUCAUUUUAAUCCUGUUUCUAAUGGAGUUCUAUUAUAAUAUUCAAAGUACAUUUCAUAGAACAGUAGGGCCCAGGGCAUAAUAGAAACAUUCUUACUCAAAUAGAACUCUUUAAAAAAUCAUGUUCUAGAUAAAGUUAAUGUAUAAUGAUAAAAUAUUCAUGUAAACCAAGCCACACAAUUCAAACCAA
rnacentral:lncRNA from 1 species